rnacentral:rRNA from 1 species
AUUGAACGCUGGCGGCAGGCCUACCACAUGCAAGUCGAACGAGUGGCGGACUGGUUAGUCAUGUCUGGGAAACUGCCUGAUGGAGGGGGAUAACUACUGUAAAAGGUAGCUAAUACCGCCUACCAUCAGCUGUGCCCAGAUGGGAUUAGCUUGUUGGUGGGGUAACGGCUCACCAAGGCGACGAUCCCUAGCUGGUCUGAGAGGAUGACCAGCCACACUGGAACUGAGACACGGUACAGACUCCUACGGGAGGCAGCAGUGGGGAAUAUUGGACAAUGGGCGCAAGCCUGACGCAGCCAUGCCGCGGGUAUGAAGAAGGCCUUCGGAUUGUAAAGUACUGGCAGCGGGGAGGCGUUACCCGCAGAAGAAGCACCGGCUAACUCCGUGCCAGCAGCCGCGGUAAUUC